rnacentral:lncRNA from 1 species
UCAAAAUAUUUAUAAAGCCAAACAAGUACAAAGUUGAAGAGCAUUAAGGAUCCAAAAUUCCAAAAAAAUUGUUCCAAAUACGGCUAAGGUAAUCUUUGCCGUAAAACAAAUCUGAUGGUAAUAUAUUUCUCACUUCAUUAAUUAGACAGGCAAGAUCCAGAGAAAGAUCAGACAGUUGGACAAAGUGUUACCCCUAUUAUUGAGACAGCAUUGUUUAAAAACAAGAACAAAUCUGAAAAAGAACAGACUAGUCAGUUAAAAG